UUAAAUAUUUCUUAUUUACACUCAGACCACCUAAAUUACAGCAAGUUUAGGGUCUCUGGCGAGGGCCUUGGGCGUGCCCCAAGACUCGCCAAAGCAACAAAGAACGUUUACAGUGGGUAAAGAGUUGGGGGCGGUUGGCCCCCCUGGAGCCAGGCUCCACUCUCGGUAAUGAUCCUUCCGCAGGUUCACCUACGGAAA
rnacentral:misc_RNA from 1 species